rnacentral:rRNA from 1 species
AAUGAUAGUCGGGCUGAAGACUCUACUUGACUAGCUGAGAGGAGGUGCAUGGCCGUCGUCAGUUCGUACUGUGAAGCAUCCUGUUAAGUCAGGCAACGAGCGAGACCCACGCCAACAGUUGCCAGCUCGUCCUCCGGGAGUGGUGGGGACACUGUUGGGACCGCCUCUGCUAAAGAGGAGGAAGGAAUGGGCAACGGUAGGUCAGCAUGCCCCGAAUUAUCUGGGCUACACGCGGGCUACAAUGGGUGGGACAAUGGGUAUCGACACCGAAAGGUGAAGGCAAUCUCCUAAACCCAUCCGUAGUUCGGAUUGUGGGCUGCAACUCGCCCACAUGAAGCUGGAAUCUGUAGUAAUCGUGUCUCAAAAUGGCACGGUGAAUAUGUCCCUGCUCCUU